AACGAACGCUGGCGGCAGGCUUAACACAUGCAAGUCGAGCGCCCCGCAAGGGGAGCGGCAGACGGGUGAGUAACGCGUGGGAAUCUACCCAUCUCUACGGAAUAACGCAUGGAAACGUGUGCUAAUACCGGAUACGUCCUUCGGGAGAAAGAUUUAUCGGAGAUGGAUGAGCCCGCGUUGGAUUAGCUAGUUGGUGGGGUAAAGGCCUACCAAGGCGACGAUCCAUAGCUGGUCUGAGAGGAUGAGCAGCCACACUGGGACUGAGACACGGCCCAGACUCCUACGGGAGGCAGCAGUGGGGAAUAUUGGACAAUGGGCGCAAGCCUGAUCCAGCCAUGCCGCGUGAGUGAUGAAGGCCCUAGGGUUGUAAAGCUCUUUCACCGGUGAAGAUAAUGACGGUAACCGGAGAAGAAGCCCCGGCUAACUUCGUGCCAGCCGCCGCCGUAAUAC
rnacentral:rRNA from 1 species